CAUCUUUCCUUUCAGACUGUUUUGGGAAAACCUGCCCUGGUGUAGGAAAAUCAUAAUAAGGAGGGUAUUUAGAGGUAUCUCUUUCUUGUAUUUUUGUGCAACUUUUUGGCACAUAGUGAUGACUACUAACCUCACUGUCUGAUUUAUGACUCUCCUUUUUGUAUUCUUCCAAUUGCUUUUUAAGCUGAUUUAUUUCCUGUGCACAUUUAUCCAUCAUAGCUUUCAGUUCUUUUUCGUGAUCAGCCUGACGGGUUUCAUGCUCAGCAAUUAAAUCUUGGUAUUUCCCACUUUGAAUAUCCA